AGAUCUGUAUAGGCACCGAGACUUCAGGAAGCUGCAGCUGAUGACUACAGCUGCUUCUUUCACUGGUGCGGAUGAUUCACAGCUAGAUGUCUGGAAGUCAGCGCGAAAUCUGAUAACGCCUGAAACCCACACUUCUAUCCUCCUGAGCAGAUGAGCAGCACUUCCGCUUGUCCAGAGCUGGACCUUCCUAACUCACAGCUCAUAUUUUGACCAGCUGGGGGAGUCAGGCUUGAAGAUGGUUGUGCAGUGAAGCUCUGCAGAUCCACGUAGCUGGAAGGGUCAGGAAUAAAAACACAGAGAACUGACCCGGUUUUAGAGGAACCAAGGAAGUGCACAAAGGACACCAUGCUGCCAUUCUUUGGGCCGCUUGUACUCAGUACAGGGAAGCUAGGCACUAUUGUCCCCAUUUCACAGGGGCACUCAAACUCUCCAGGCUACAUAGGCAGAAUGGACACUGGAAGCCACCUCUCCUGUUUCCUAGUGUCCUGCUCCUAGCAAUGAUCAGAGCUUAGAGGAAAUGAAUGCAUCUGUGCUCCCCUUCAUUCCAGCAUCAAGAGAGCAGAAGAAGAGCGAACACGAAGAGGGAGUCACCUUUCAAAUCUAUUUGAAUCAUGCUUUGUAACGAUCAAUUCCAAAGUUUGCCCAGAAGCCCAUAUAUUUAAAACUAGCAUUUCUCUUAUCAUGGGUAACCAUUCCGUACUGCAUGAAUUGAAAUGGCUAUUCACCUGCGGGGUCAGCUAUCCCCUGUCAGCAAUAAAGCCAUCAGUGAUCAUUCUGCAGGGUAGGACUGUUCGUGAACAUCUGGCUGGCCACUGCCCUUGGCCUUCAGAAGCCGCAGGCAUGUGGAAGCUCUUGCUGUUGAUUAACAGGACUGUCUCAUGUUGGAUGUGAAACAGACAGCAACUAAGCAACUUGAACUUACUGGAAUGUGAGUUUGGAAACUAGCGAGAUAUCAUCAGUCAAGGUUCGUUACUGCAAGACUAGAAACAGGUUCCACUCUGACGCAGCACAACUGACUGGUGAUUUUAUGGUGAGAAACCCAUCUUGACUUACUCCAACAUUCAGUUACCGUAUUGCUGAUCCACUUUAUUUGGAUUUCAUGUUCUGAAUUUCUCCAUACUUUUGCUGAGAGCUUGGGGAAGUCCAUGAAUACCCAACAAAUAAUGAAGUAGACUAGAUCUGUACAAUAGGCGAGUGGCGGUUAUUUUUUAAAAAGAAGAUGAACUGAAAGUUU